GUCCCUGAAGCGCAAUGGAUAGCGCGUUGGAUUUCUAAUCCAAAGGUCGUGGAUUCGAAUUCCACAUGGGGGGGCU
rnacentral:tRNA from 1 species